AGUGGCGCACGGGUGCGUAACGCGUAUGCAACCUACCCAUAAUUGGAACAUAACGUUGAGAAAUUAGCGCUAAUAUUCCAUGUGAAUAUGAUGAGGCAUCUUAUUAUAUUUAAAGAUUAAUUGAUUAUGGAUGGGCAUGCGUAUCAUUAGCUAGUUGGAGAGGUAACGGCUCACCAAGGCAACGAUGAUUAGGGGUUCUGUGAGGAUUUCCCCCCACACUGGAACUGAGACACGGUCCAGACUCCUACGGGAGGCAGCAGUAGGGAAUAUUGGGCAAUGGAAGCAAUUCUGACCCAGCCAUGCCGCGUGAAGGAAUACAGCCCUAUGGGUUUUAAACUUCUUUUAUUAUAGAGUAAACGGAGGUACGUGUACCUCCCUGCAAGUAUAUGAUGAAUAAGGAUCGGCUAACUCCGUGCCAGCAGCCGCGGUAAUACGGAGGAUCCAAGCGUUAUCCGGAUUUAUUGGGUUUAAAGGGUGCGCAGGCGGAUCAAUAAGUCAGGGGUGAAAAAUUUCAGCUUAACUGGAAUCGUGCCUUUGAUACUGUUGGACUAGAGUAUAAUUGACGUGACUGGAAUGUGAUGUGUAGCGGUGAAAUGCUUAGAUAUGUCACAGAACGCCAAUCGUGAAGACAGGUCACGAAAUUAUUACUGACGCUCAUGCACGAAAGCGUGGGGAUCAAACAGGAUUAGAUACCCUGGUAGUCCACGCU
rnacentral:rRNA from 1 species